GAUUUUUCAAUGGCCGCGGUAAUUUGACCGUGCAAAGGUAGCAUAAUCACUUGUCUCUUAAAUGGAGGCUAGAAUGAAUGGUUGGACGAGAUAUAUACUUUCUUUGUAGUAUUGAUUUGAAUUUGAUUUUUGAGUUAAAAAGCUUAAAUUUUUUUAUGGGACGAGAAGACCCUGUAGAAUUUUAUACUGAAUCAUUUUAAUUGUUUUUGGUUUAUUAUUGACUUUUUUUAUUGUUUUAGUAUUUUGUUGGGGCGACAGGAAGAUUUUUUUAACUCUUCUUAUUUUUUUUCAUUGAUUUAUGUUUUAUUUUGAUCCUUUAUUAAAGAUUAAAAGAUUAAAUUACCUCAGGGAUAACAGCGUAAUCCUUUUGGAGAGUUCUUAUCGAUAAAAGGGUUUGCGACCUCGAU
rnacentral:rRNA from 1 species